rnacentral:lncRNA from 1 species
UUGGCACGUUGUUUCUGAAGCAUAGACAUAUACUCAGACCACAGAAGAGGAGACCAAUGGGGAGCAUUGGAAUGAUUUGGUUGCAAGCAUACUACACUACUUGUAAACUGCAGACACAGGCUUAAAAAAAGUGAAAAACUAACCAUGCAAUAAAGAAUGGAAUGAACCAUGAAGCUGUUUCUGUGGCCAGUCAUGUUUUUGAAGCAUAUCCCAUGCUAAUUUCUAGAACAGAAGAAACACACGUGUUCUUGUGUGUAAACCCAGUCCAUGGAAGAGACCGUCUGCUUGUCCCUCCUGAUCUCUGGGCCCAGACAACCAGUAGUCACCAUUCCAAGUGAGGGGUGGCUGCAACUCUACAGCCCCGUUCGUCUCUCCUCACUGUCAAAGCUGCUGAGACCCCAGACUCGACACUUGAAAGAAACCCAUGUCUGUGAAGCACUUGUGGACCAUUCAAGAUUGUGGAAGAAUCACUCAAGAGAAGGAGAUAGGUGAUGGGAUCUAGCUUCUGAUGGUUUCUAUUUUAUUGAAUGUCUAAUAGGGCAAGAAUUUGAAAAACGAGAAUGUUUGCCAUGCAGGAGGACCUGGGAAGGAGAUAACACAUUUACAGGGAGAAAGAUUGGGAUUCAGUUGGGAGGAGUAACUGAGGAAAGGGGUCACUCAAAAUAUUUUGUAUUUUAGGUCCUUUUUCUAUUAAGGAGGAAUGGAUUAUCAAAGCCUUAACAUUAAAUUGUAUUGUGUCAGGUGAAUUGCUAUGGUUUGAAUGUGGUGUGUCCCCCUCCCAAACUCACAUUGAAUUUUUUUUUUUUUUUUUGAGACGGAGUCUCGCUCUGUUGCCCAGGCUGGAGUGCAGUGGUGCGAUCUUGGCUCACUACAAGCUCUGCCUCCCGGGUUCAAGAGAUUCUCCUGCCUCAGCCUCCCGAGUAGCUGGGAUUACAGAUGUUCGUCACCACACCUGGCUAAUUUUUGUAUUUUUAAUAGAGAUGGGGUUUCACUAUGUUGGCUAGGCUGGUCUCAAACUCCCGACAUCAGGUGAUCCACCCACCUCGGCCUCCCAAAGUGCUGGGAUUAGAGGAGUGAGCCACUGCACCCAGCCUCACGUUGAGGUUUAAUUGCCAUUGUAACAGUAUAAAGAUGUGGGACCUUUACGAGGUGAUUAGGCAAUGAGGACUCUGCCCUCAUGAAUGGAUUAAUGCUGUUAUCAUGGGAGUGGAUUCCUUAUAAAGGGACACGUUCAGCACCCCCUUGCUCUCUCUCUCACCUUCCGCCAUAUGAUGAUGGGGCACAAAGGCCAUCAUCAGAUGUUGGCCCCUUGUUCUCGAACUUCCCAACCUCCAGAGCAGUAAAAAAAUAAAUCACUGUUCUUUACAAAUGGCCCAGUCUCAGAUAUUCUGUUACAGCAGUACAAAAUGAACUAAGUCAUGAAACCUAAGAUUUACAUGAUUUACAGCAGUGGUCCGCAACCUUUUGGGC